GCCUUAGAGUUUGAUCAUGGCUCAGGAUGAACGCUAGCUACAGGCUUAACACAUGCAAGUCGAGGGGCAGCAUGAACUUAGCUUGCUAAGUUUGAUGGCGACCGGCGCACGGGUGAGUAACACGUAUCCAACCUGCCGAUGACUCGGGGAUAGCCUUUCGAAGGAAAGAUUAAUACCCGAUGGCAUAGUUCUUCCGCAUGGUAGAACUAUUAAAGAAUUUCGGUCAUCGAUGGGGAUGCGUUCCAUUAGGUUGUUGGCGGGGUAACGGCCCACCAAGCCUUCGAUGGAUAGGGGUUCUGAGAGGAAGGUCCCCCACAUUGGAACUGAGACACGGUCCAAACUCCUACGGGAGGCAGCAGUGAGGAAUAUUGGUCAAUGGACGAGAGUCUGAACCAGCCAAGUAGCGUGAAGGAUGACUGCCCUAUGGGUUGUAAACUUCUUUUAUACGGGAAUAAAGUGAGGCACGCGUGCCUUUUUGUAUGUACCGUAUGAAUAAGGAUCGGCUAACUCCGUGCCAGCAGCCGCGGUAAUACGGAGGAUCCGAGCGUUAUCCGGAUUUAUUGGGUUUAAAGGGAGCGUAGGCGGACGCUUAAGUCAGUUGUGAAGGUUUGCGGCUCAACCGUAAAAUUGCAGUUGAUACUGGGUGUCUUGAGUACAGUAGAGGCAGGCGGAAUUCGUGGUGUAGCGGUGAAAUGCUUAGAUAUCACGAAGAACUCCGAUUGCGAAGGCAGCUUGCUGGACUGUAACUGACGCUGAUGCUCGAAAGUGUGGGUAUCAAACAGGAUUAGAUACCCUGGUAGUCCACACAGUAAACGAUGAAUACUCGCUGUUUGCGAUAUACAGUAAGCGGCCAAGCGAAAGCGUUAAGUAUCCACCUGG
rnacentral:rRNA from 1 species